UACAGAGGUGGCAAGCGUUGUUCGGAAUUACUGGGCGUAAAGGGCUCGUAGGCGGCCAACUAAGUCACACGUGAAAUCCCCAGGCUUAACCUGGGAACUGCGUGUGAUACUGGAUGGCUUGAAUUCGGGAGAGGGAUGCAGAAUUCCAGGUGUAGCGGUGAAAUGCGUAGAUAUCUGGAGGAAUACCGGUGGCGAAGGCGGCAUCCUGGACCGACAUUGACGCUGAGGAGCGAAAGCUAGGGGAGCAAACGGG
rnacentral:rRNA from 1 species